rnacentral:SRP_RNA from 1 species
GCAGGGCGCGGUGGCGCAAGCCUGUAGUCCCAGCAACUCGGAGGCUGAGAGGCUGAGACAGGAGGAUCGCUUGAGUACAGGAGUUCUGGGCUACAUGUAGUGCGCUGUGCCGAUCGGGUGUCCGCACUAAGUUUGGCAUCGAUACGGUGACCUCCCGGGAACGGGGGACCACAAGGUUGCCUAAGGAAGGGUGAACCGGUCCAGGUUGGAAACGGAGCAGGUCAAAACUCCCGUGCUGAUCAGUAGUGGGAUCGCGCCUGUAAAUAGCCACUGCACUCCAACCGGGCAACACAACGAGACCCAGUCUCU